rfam:Cricetulus griseus cell line CHO-K1, whole genome shotgun sequence.
GGAGAAGCGGCUCAGUGGUUCAGAGCACUGGCUGCUCUUCCAGAGGACCUGGGUUCAGUUCCCAGCAUCCACA